GCGGGGGCGCGCGCGGGCGCGGCGGCGCGCGGAGCCGGGCACGGGCACGGCCGCGCCGAGCGGAGCGCAGCCCAGCGCGGUCCAGAGCUCGCCCGGCCGAGCCCAGCCGCCGCCGCGAUGUUGGACCCGUCGUCCAGCGAGGAGGAGUCGGAGGAGCUGGUGGAGGAGGAGAGCGGCAAGGAGCCGCUGGCGCCCGCCGCGGCGCGGCUCUCGCCCAGCCGCCCCGGCGAGGGCCCGGGCGGCGGCGGCGGCGGCGGUGCCGGCGGCGGUGGGAGCGCCGGGGGGCUGCAGCCCGGCGGGCGCGGCAGCAGCGCGGCCCGGCCCGCCAGCCCCAGCCCCUCGGUGGCCAGCGAGAAGGAGAAGGAUGAGCUGGAGCGGCUGCAGCGGGAGGAGGAGGAGAGGAAGAAGAAGCUGCAGCUCUACGUCUUCGUCAUGCGCUGCAUCGCCUACCCCUUCAACGCCAAGCAGCCCACCGACAUGGCCCGCCGGCAGCAGAAGAUAAGUAAGCAGCAGCUCCAGACAAUCAAAGAUCGUUUCCAGGCCUUUCUCAAUGGAGAAACCCAGAUUGUGGCAGAUGAAGCAUUUAUAAAUGCUGUCCAGAGCUACUACGAGGUAUUCCUGAAGAGCGACCGCGUUGCCAGGAUGGUGCAGAGCGGAGGGUGCUCGGCAAACGACUCCCGGGAGGUCUUCAAGAAGCACAUCGAGAAGAGAGUGCGCAGCCUGCCAGAAAUUGAUGGCCUCAGCAAGGAGACAGUCCUGAGCUCUUGGAUGGCAAAGUUUGAUGCUAUUUACCGUGGGGAGGAGGAUCCCCGGAAGCAACAGGCCAGGAUGACAGCGAGUGCUGCCUCGGAGCUCAUUCUCAGCAAGGAGCAGCUCUAUGAGAUGUUCCAGAACAUUUUGGGGAUCAAGAAAUUUGAGCAUCAGCUUCUGUACAAUGCAUGUCAGCUGGACAACCCUGAUGAGCAAGCAGCGCAGAUCAGACGCGAGUUAGAUGGACGUCUCCAAAUGGCAGAACAAAUUGCCAAGGAGCGCAAAUUUCCCAAGUUUGUGUCCAAAGAAAUGGAGAACAUGUACAUUGAGGAGCUGAAGUCAUCUGUCAAUCUCCUGAUGGCAAACUUGGAGAGCAUGCCUGUGUCUAAAGGAGGCUCUGAGUUCAAGCUGCAGAAGCUGAAACGUAGCCACAACACCUCAAUAAUUGACAUGGGAGAGGAAAAUGAGAACCAGCUUUCCAAGUCAGAUGUCGUGUUGUCAUUCUCCCUGGAGGUUGUCAUCAUGGAGGUGCAGGGGCUGAAGUCCCUGGCCCCCAACCGCAUCGUGUACUGCACCAUGGAAGUGGAAGGUGGGGAGAAGCUGCAGACAGACCAGGCUGAAGCCUCAAAGCCAACCUGGGGCACCCAAGGAGACUUCACGACAACCCAUGCGCUUCCUGCAGUGAAGGUGAAGCUGUUCACAGAGAGCACAGGAGUGCUGGCUCUGGAGGACAAAGAGCUUGGGAGGGUCGUUCUCCACCCUACUCCUAAUAGCCCAAAGCAGUCAGAGUGGCACAAAAUGACUGUUUCCAAAAACUGCCCAGAUCAAGACCUGAAGAUCAAGCUUGCUGUGAGAAUGGAUAAGCCUCAAAACAUGAAGCACUCUGGGUAUUUAUGGGCCAUUGGUAAGAAUGUUUGGAAGAGAUGGAAGAAACGAUUCUUUGUCCUGGUCCAGGUUAGUCAAUAUACAUUUGCUAUGUGCAGCUACCGGGAGAAAAAAGCAGAACCUCAAGAGCUGCUGCAGCUCGACGGAUACACUGUGGACUACACCGACCCGCAGCCAGGUUUGGAUGGUGGCAGAACAUUCUUCAAUGCUGUGAAGGAAGGAGACACGGUGAUUUUUGCGAGUGAUGAUGAGCAGGACCGUAUCCUGUGGGUCCAAGCCAUGUACCGAGCCACUGGCCAGUCUCACAAACCUGUGCCACCUACCCAAGUGCAAAAGCUAAAUGCUAAAGGAGGAAAUGUACCCCAGAUAGACGCUCCAAUCUCUCAAUUUUCUGGACUCAAGGAUGCAGAUAGAGCUCAAAAGCAUGGCAUGGAUGAAUUUAUCUCUUCCAAUCCCUGUAACUUUGACCACGCUUCACUCUUUGAGAUGGUUCAGCGCCUCACUUUGGACCACAGACUUAAUGAUUCCUAUUCUUGUCUGGGCUGGUUUAGUCCUGGCCAGGUCUUUGUGCUAGAUGAGUAUUGUGCACGUAAUGGAGUGAGAGGCUGUCACAGACAUCUCUGCUACCUCAGAGAUUUGCUAGAGCGCGCAGAAAACGGAGCUAUGAUUGACCCCACCUUACUUCACUACAGCUUUGCCUUUUGUGCAUCACAUGUUCAUGGCAACAGCCAACUCAUGGCAGAAUUACUUGGUGGGUCACAGCCAAGUGCAGACGGUGAGGGGGGCAAAGCCUCUGCCGCUGAAACGGAGACAAAAAAGGAUUCCAAAAAGGAGUCCAAAAAAAAGAAGGAGCCCAAAACCCAGCCGAAUCCAGAGCCGAAAAGGCCUGAUGGGAUAGGAACUGUGACCGUGGACGAGAAAGAGCGUUUCGAAGAGAUCAAGGAGCGGCUUCGGGUGCUGCUGGAGAAUCAGAUCACACAUUUCAGGUACUGCUUCCCAUUUGGCCGUCCAGAGGGUGCACUGAAAGCCACUCUGUCACUGCUGGAAAGGGUUCUGAUGAAAGACAUAGUUACUCCAGUCCCUCAAGAGGAGGUAAAAACAGUCAUUCGUAAAUGCUUGGAGCAAGCAGCUCUAGUCAAUUAUACUCGACUAUCAGAGUAUGCCAAAAUUGAAGGGAAAAAGAGAGAAAUGUAUGAGCAUCCUGUCUUCUGCUUGGCCUCUCAAGUGAUGGAUUUAACCAUUCAGAAUCAAAAGGACGCAGCCCGUCCGCCCAAGCCUAAGCCGCCGGCUGGGCCACCAUCAUCUCCUCAAACGCAGACUAACAUGAUAGAUCAUAUGCUCAAAGGCAUGGCCAAACAGCCGCCAAAGAAUGUAGGCCGGUUAGUCACACCAGCUAAAAAGUUAGAAGAUACAAUACGUCUGGCAGAGUUGGUAAUUGAAGUCCUACAGCAAAACGAAGAGCACCAUGCAGAGGGGAAAGAGGCCUUUGCUUGGUGGUCAGACCUAAUGGUUGAGCACGCGGAGACCUUCCUGUCCCUGUUUGCAGUGGAUAUGGACGCAGCGUUAGAGGUGCAGCCCCCAGACACCUGGGACAGCUUCCCGCUCUUUCAGCUCAUUAACGAUUCCCUCCGUAGUGACUAUAAUUUGUGCAAUGGAAAAUUCCACAAACACCUCCAAGACCUGUUUGCUCCACUUGUUGUUAGAUAUGUCGAUCUGAUGGAGUCCUCAAUUGCACAGUCAAUUCACAGGGGCUUUGAGCGGGAGUCAUGGGAGCCAGUAAAGAGUUUAACAAGUAAUCUGCCCAAUGUGAAUCUACCAAAUGUGAAUCUCCCUAAAGUACCAAAUCUACCAGUUAACAUCCCACUAGGCAUCCCACAAAUGCCUAGCUUUUCUGCACCGUCAUGGAUGGCUGCUAUUUAUGAUUCUGACAAUGGAUCAGGCACCUCAGAAGAUAUGUUCUGGAAGCUUGAUGCCCUACAGACCUUCAUUCGGGAUUUGCACUGGCCCGAGGAGGAGUUUGGGAAACACUUGGAGCAGCGCUUGAAGCUUAUGGCGAGUGACAUGAUCGAGUCCUGUGUGAAAAGAACAAGGAUUGCAUUUGAAGUAAAACUGCAGAAAACCAGCCGAUCAACAGAUUUCCGAGUCCCUCAAUCAAUAUGCACCAUGUUUAAUGUCAUGGUGGAUGCCAAAGCUCAGUCUACAAAGCUUUGCAGUAUGGAAAUGGGCCAAGAGUUUGCAAAAGAGUGGCACCAGUACCAUUCAAAAAUAGAUGAACUAAUUGAGGAAACCGUCAAAGAAAUGAUAACACUCCUAGUGGCAAAGUUUGUCACCAUUUUGGAAGGAGUCUUGGCCAAACUGUCUAGAUAUGAUGAAGGGACUUUGUUUUCUUCAUUCCUGUCAUUUACUGUGAAGGCUGCUUCAAAAUACGUGGACGUACCCGUAAGCACAAUUUAAACAACUUCUGUCAUAGUAAUUUGCAUCGUGCUUUGGUUUAUGGCAUGUGUAGCAACCCACAUGAUGCAUUAACAGCCAAGAUUGAACCAUGGGCCUUCAUACUUCUAACAUUUGAACUGGAAAAGAUAUCUCCAUUAUGUUAAUAAUGAGCAGUUACCCUCUUAUGGAGACCUAUGAGGCUGUUUAGGCAACAAUUUGCAGAUGGUGUCAAAAAGGUACCAUAUUUAUGCAAUUGGCUUGAAUCACAUUUGAAAAAAAAAAAUGGGAGCAGUGCAUUCUGUUGAUUCUUCAUUUGGACUUGUACAAAUACAGUAUAAUUUCCAAACAAAAAGUCCAGACAUGUUAGAACUGAGCCAACACACAUCUAACACAUUAGCUAAUCUAUUUUAUUUUUGUUCUUCUAAUUGUUGGUUUAUUUUACUCUUUUGGAAAAUGACUUUUUUAUUACUUUGGGGAAAUGGUGAUGAGCUACCAACAUGUGUUUGGGAAAUUGUUAAUGAAAAUAAUUUUUUCCAUUUUUCUGUAAUUGGUGUAGGGAAACUGUACAUCGUCUCCUCUAAUUAGACCUUGAUUCAUAAGGAAAAGAGCCCUUAAUGUUCUUAGACAGAGCACUUAACUUGCCAGAAAUUUACAUUUAAAUUAAGUUGAAGUGUAAUAUAUGAAUGUUGGCUGGAAUAAGGGGUUACUGUAACAUUUACAGGCAGAAAGAUCCUGAGCAACUGCAAAUGCAGAAAAAUAGACCUUAAUAUACCACACCAGUUCCUGCACCCAGUUAGACUGGGCAGUGGAAAUCAAGAGUAACUCAGCUGAGUCUGAUGAUGUGUAUGUACAAUGUUGUAUAUUUAAUGCAAUUGUAUUGUUCUGCAUGUUCUCAUAUGACAAUGUGAUAAAUUUAUCAGACAUCUUGGACCACAUCAUCUGCAUUUGGUUUUUUUCAGCCCUUUAGCCCAACCUAAAUGUUGCCUACAAAAUUAUCAUAUCUCGAGCCUAGCAUGGAAAAGACAAACUCUUGAACAUUAAGAGGUGUUGCUUGGUUUAAAAUACCCCAGUGCAGAUCUUGGCAUCCUGUUCUCUUGGAGUAAUAAAAGCAAGAUUUUGAGAGCCUUGGGAAGAAAAACUCAUAAUUUAUUUCUUGCCCUGAAAAUGUGGAGAUCCUUCAGAUGAAACGUCCUAGUUGUUUCAGUGCAUCUUAAAUAUUUAGUCAUCAGAAAUUUGAACACAGAACAGUUAUUUUAAGCAACUUCUAGGGCGAAGCAUGGCCUUCUCUGAGGCCUCUGUGUUCCAAAAGUAAAGCAUUUCCAGGGAAGUGGUCUUAGUAAAAUGCUGUGUAACCCUUUCAAGCUUUUCCAGAAGCUUUGUACCUUGAACACCCUUGGGAGGUCUGCAGCAGGGUCUGCUUCUCUCCUCAAAGCCAGACAGAUGCUCCAGUUCUUUGUGUAAAUCAGAGCAGAAAUCAUUCACCUGGGUUAGUUUUCAGUUGUUUCCCCACCUGCCCCUGGAAAUGAAACCAAAUUACAGUGGCUUCCUUGACAGCCUCAACAUUUUUAAUGAACUGAGCCACCAGCCCCACACAGCUCCCAGAGCUGUGCAGAGGUCACUCCAUGGUCCGUGAGCCACUGCCUUUCCAGGGGAAGGAGAAAGAAAAACCUGUUCAGCUGGAGGACAGAGGGGAAAUCCUGGUGUCGAACAGAAACCCACCAUUUAAAUUUAAUUCUGCAAAUGUUAGUUAAAUCUAAUUCUGUAAUUCCAAUUGUCUUGGUACAAACCAAUCCGUCUAAUCCUGCCUUGGAAUGGGCACGAUCAGCAGACUGAAAAUUGCUUGAAAGUGUAACACUUGACUACUGCCACGUUUGUGUUGUCCUCAUUGUUUUUCAAAUUAAUACCUUGUCAUUGUUGCAGUAGGUGUUAAGAAAUGUCACUGCCUUCCCAAGGGCCAAGCACUGGCCCUUUGCUUGAUAAUUGUUUGCUUUGUAUUAAAAAACUCCCUUCCUACUGCUUUCCAAACUGUCCUCAUUUUCACCCUGGAAAUUACAUGGAUGUGUUAACUAACUUCAAUUUACAGCGGCUGACAAUCGAUUCUUGCAGAGAAAUGAUACUCUGUGAUCUGAGGUAAAUCACAGUAAUGGAAACUAAUGACACUAGUUAUUAACAAACUUACAAUGUGCCACACAAAUUUAAGGUUUUGUGGCAGCUCUUGUAAUGACUCGUGUUACCAUGUUUUAAUGGGUUUCAUUUGAGGUAAGUUUGAAUCCAAUAUAUCAAGCAAUGUGAACUCAAACACAAUUUUUUAAAAAGUAUUUUCUUAUCCAGCUGCUUCAAUUCCCUUUACUGCUUUAAAGCAAUGCUGUUAUCCCCAAAAUCUUGCAUGCUUGUAGGUUACUCCUUAAAAAUCAGUUCAAUUCUGCAGAGAGCUGUAGAAAUGUGACAUCAGGUAAGUGUUCAUCAGGUAAGGAAAGGGCAAACUGCAGGAGGACAGCAGGAGAUGGAAGAGAAGGAAAAGCAGUGAUGAGCCUGCACAGAGAAGCUGCCCCCUGCAUCACUAUUCAUGUUUUUUUCUCUCUCUCUUCUUCUCUCCUCCAUGCAGAAGCCAGGAAUGGAUGUUGCUGAUGCCUAUGUGACAUUUGUCCGCCACUCUCAGGAUGUCCUGCGUGAUAAGGUCAAUGAGGAGAUGUAUAUAGAAAGGUUAUUUGAUCAAUGGUACACCAGCUCCAUGAGUGUCGUGUGCACUUGGCUGACAGACCGCAUGGACCUGCAGCUCCACAUCUACCAGCUGAAAACCCUCAUUAGGAUAGUCAAG